GUUGUUUACUUGACUGGGUUUGUUUAGAGGCUGCCGGUUAGCAGAUGAAAGGCUGACAAACUCCUAUCCAGCUGCUUCAAGAUCACCAUGGACCAGUUUCUCUCAGCCUUGAGAGAAAGGGGUGUUCCUGAGGAGAACCUGGCAAGAAUGGCAGAGGACAAGGUUUCAUCAAGGGAACAUGUUUUUCCGGACGUGGAACAAUCAAGAGGGCCGUGACGAUGGAGCUGCAGAGAAUCCCUGGAGAAUCCUUCCAGGAGUGCAUGGAAGUGUAGAAGGAUGGGAAAGUGUGUUAGAUUCGAGGGGGAUUAUUCUGAAGGGGAAAACUUGUAGUUUGUAGUUUAGAUUUGAAAUACAUUUUUUGUGACCCCAGUCCUGUUUCUUUUCUGAAGCACCUUGUAUGUUGGCCUUUAUGCAUUUCAUUUAUAUGCCAAUUUUGAGAAAUGAUUUUGUUUUGCUUAAUUUGAUUUAGAAUAGUGCAGUGCCCCUCCCAAUAGGACCCUGCACUUUCCCGGGUCCAAGUUCAUGUUAUUUAAAUGAAAGCACUGACUUAUGAGUUUGCAAU